rnacentral:rRNA from 1 species
AGUGAACGCUGGCGGUAGGCCUAACACAUGCAAGUCGAACGGCAGCACAGUAAGAGCUUGCUCUUACGGGUGGCGAGUGGCGGACGGGUGAGGAAUACAUCGGAAUCUACUUUUUCGUGGGGGAUAACGUAGGGAAACUUACGCUAAUACCGCAUACGACCUACGGGUGAAAGCAGGGGAUCUUCGGACCUUGCGCGAUUGAAUGAGCCGCUGUCGGAUUAGCUAGUUAGCGGGGUAAAGGCCCACCAAGGCGACGAUCCGUAGCUGGUCUGAGAGGAUGAUCAGCGACAUUGGAACUGGGACACGGUCCAGACUCCUACGGGAGGCAGCAGUGGGGAAUAUUGGACAAUGGGCGCAAGCCUGAUCCAGCCAUACCGCGUGGGUGAAGAAGGCCUUCGGGUUGUAAAGCCCUUUUGUUGGGAAAGAAAAGCAGCAGGUUAAUACCCCGCUGUUCUGACGGUACCCAAAGAAUAAGCACCGGCUAACUUCGUG